UACGGAGGAUGCGAGCGUUAUCCGGAUUUAUUGGGUUUAAAGGGUGCGUAGGCGGGAUGCCAAGUCAGCGGUAAAAAUGCGGUGCUCAACGCCGUCGAGCCGUUGAAACUGGCGCUCUUGAGUGGGCGAGAAGUAUGCGGAAUGCGUGGUGUAGCGGUGAAAUGCAUAGAUAUCACGCAGAACUCCGAUUGCGAAGGUAGCAUACCGGCGCCCUACUGACGCUGAGGCACGAAAGCGUGGGUAUCGAACAGG
rnacentral:rRNA from 1 species